rfam:Dipodomys ordii contig_16612, whole genome shotgun sequence.
GGUGGCUCAGUGGUAGAGCGCUUGCCUCGCAUGCAUGAAGCCCUGGGUUCGAUUCCUCAGCACCA